GGAGGAGGAGGUAGUGGAGACAGAGGGAGGAGGAGGUAGUGGAGACAGAGGGAGGAGGAGGUGGUGGAGACAGAGGGAGGAGGAGGUAGUGGAGACAGAGGGAGUAGGAAGUGGAGACAGAGGGAGGAGGGAGUGGAGACAGAAGAGGAGGGAGUGGAGACAGAGGGAGGAGGAGGUAGUGGAGACAGUGGGAGGAGGUAGUGGAGACAGAGGCAGGUGCGAGUGGAGACAGAGGGAGGAGGAGGUAGUGGAGACAGAGGGAGGAGGAGGGAGUGGAGACAGAGGGAGGAGGUAGUGGAGACAGAAGGAGGAGGGAGUGGAGACAGAGGGAGGAGAAAGUGGAGACAGAGGGAGGAGGAAGUGGAGACAGAGGGAGGAGGAGGUGGAGAGAGAUGGAGGAGGUAGUGGAGACAGAGGGAGGAGGAAGUAGAGACAGAUGGAGGAGGAGGUAGUGGAGACAGAGGGAGGAGGAUGUAGAGACAUAGGGAGGAGGAUGUAGAGAGAGACAGAGGUAGGAGGAGGUGGUGGAGACAGAGGUAGGAGGAGGUAGUGGAGACAGAGGGAGGAGGAUGUAGUAGAGACAGAGGGAGGAGGAUGUAGUAGAGACAGAGGGAGGAGGAGAUAGUAGAGACAGAGGGAGGAGGUAGUGGAGACAGAAGGAGGAGGAGGUAGUAGAGACAGAGGGAGGAGGAGGUAGUAGAGACAGAGGGAGGAGGUAGUGGAGACAGAGG
ensembl:lncRNA